GGGGACUUAGCUCAGCGGUAGAGCGCUUGCCUAGCAAGCGCAAGGCCCUGGGUUCGAUCCCCAGCUCCG
rnacentral:tRNA from 1 species